UUUAAAUUUGAUCAUUUUCCAACUCCCUUAGAGUUAAACAGUUGAGUUUUACCAUUUUUAAAUCAAUUCAGCCAAUCUUCAGAUAUGGUGGUAGCACUUUUAGCUGUAGCUUAGCAUAGAUCAUUGAAUCUGAUUAGACCAGUAGCAUCUCGCUCAAAAAUGUGACCAAAGUGCUAUUUCUAUUUUGAAAAACUUUGCUGCCGUUCUAUGAGUGCAGCAGGCGCAAUGAUAUUAUGCAGCACAUAAACGUUGUGAAUGGUUUUGACAAGUGUGUCUUUUGGCUUCCUCCUCCUCCUGUGUGACUAGCUAGUGUCAGAAGCAUAAAAAGUUGCGCAGUGCCAACUUGUGUAAUGGGAUAUUUCUGUUUUUCAUUAAGCUCUUUUUGUAAACAAAUUAUAAGUGAAAAUUGUUUGGGUAUGAACAGUGAAAAACGCUGACAAUAUUUGCAUGUUAUAAUGGUCCUGGUGUGUACAAGCCUUUAUGCUAAUGGUCUAAUAAGAUCUAUGCUAAGCUACAGCUAAAAGUGCUCUGCAAGACCCAGAUAUUGACUGAAUGGAUUCAAAAAACGGUAAAACUCAACUAUUUAACUCUAGGGAAGUUAGAAAAUGUGCCUAUUUUCAGAAAAGUUGCACGUUCCCUUAAAGCUUAGAACACAAUUUUUAACGCUUAAACCACAAUUCUUUUUUUCUAGACAGACAGGCAUGUUCUGGAAGGUCCCAGCUGAAACAAAUCUAUAUGCUCCCUCUUCCAUAGGGAGAGUGGUCUAGACUCACUGGAGUGUCUGUGAAGAGUGACGGCUCUCCGGAGGAUGAAUUAAUGAACGGGCCUGUGCGCCAUCCAUCCGUACCCACAUGCUCAGAGAGGAGGGGGAGACGGGCUCGUGAGGGUGGGUGACACACAGACAGAAAGCGCGUGUGCAUGGGCUGCUCUUCAGGCUCAGCCACACUGGAUCCAGAAGCGCGUUUGGGACGGUCUGGUCUACAUCACGGUAAUACUGACCUUCACCGAUCUCGUUCUUAGAUCAGAAAGGGUGAACGCAAUAUCGUACGUUUUUGAACAAUAGGCUGUUCUGCUUUAGAGACUGACUGAUAAGUGACGGCAAGCGCUCAGUGCUCUAAACAAAAGCCUGCUCAAAAGUUCUGUGGCAGAGUUUUAAUUAUUUCUAUGAAAGAAAAAAAUCCUUCAAACUGCCAUGCGUUUCUUUUUGGACGGGGUAAAAAAACAGAAUCGUAAAAAAAUAGUUUUAUCAAAAAUAUCUUAUCAAAAUGUUAUUUUCAUUCACUGCCAUCACAAAAGAGUGCUCACCAGUUAUUGGUAUGCACAGUGUUCAAUACGUGUUGCUUAAAACACAAGCACAUACAAUUUAAGGUUUAAUUUUGAAUAAAUCGUAUAAAACUAUAUUGUCGGGGCGUCAUAGUUGUGCAAAUAAAAGCGUUAUUGCAUUUUUCUUUUACAUUUCGGCAGUGUUGGUCACGUUACUCUAAAAUAAGUAAUUUUAGUUACUAGUUACUUCUCACAAAUAGUUACAUCAUUUUAAAAUAACUAAUUACCAGGGAGAGUAACUAUUGUUUACUUUCUAAUGGCAAACUUGGAAGCCCCCAAUAUUAAAUGGUAAAUUGACACUAAAUAUAAUCAAUUAUUAUUAUUAAACAUUGUACAUUCAUCUACACAAUUUAUUUACUGACACAUAGCAGUGGUCAGUCAAGAAUUAUAAUAUAAAAUGGUUAUAACAGCGUUAUAUGACGAUAGAACUUUAGUAAUCAGAAUUGCAAAGUAUGAAUGUAUAUUUGUCAUGUUGACCGAGUUAGGACUGCUGGUGGUGCUAGUUUAUCAUUAUCAUUAAGUGUAUGUAUAAAAAAGGGAGGCAAAAAAUUAUAACAAAACUUCUAUGAAUUGUACUACUACUAACAAUAUAAAACGCACUAACGAUUAAUGAGCUGCUGGAUUCAUGAAUAUUAAUCACGUAGUCAACGUUCGCUCGAAUUGAUUUACUGAAAUAAAAACAGGGCCGAUAAUAGGUGAGCACCAGCCAAUAAGAGAGUUUUUCCGCACAUAAGCUCCGCCCACUACCUGGGAAACCAAUAUUCAGUUCUUAAAAGAUGAAGGAUUCCAAACCUACGCCAUUAUUUUGACAGAAAAAAUACAGCAAAGAAUAACGUUUACAUGUAGCGCGUCAAUUCAGCAUGUUAUGAAAGACUCUCUUGCUCUAUAUCUUUGCGUGUGUGAGACGAACCAAAGACCACAAUUUGAUUUAUUUUUUUCAGUAAUGCGUAAUCAAUGUAUUUAUAAUGCCGUUAUUCCCAUCACUGCAUUUCAGUUACCAGUUGCAACUGAUAGAUCAAAUUUUACAUCCUGUGUGGACAGCAUUAGCAUUACAGCCAUCUAGUUUCAGUUCAAAGUAAUAAACCUGCUAAUGACUAGCACAAAGUUUAAAAAAGUUGUUUUUGUUCAGUGUGAUUGCAUUGUGGGUAACACUCCGACAUACAGCACCAUGGUGUCCCGAGUUCGAAUCCCGACGUCAGGACCUUUCCUGAACCGGACGCGGUCUCUCAUUUCCUUUGCUUCCUGUCAGCUCUGAUCUGUCCUCAUAAUAAAGGUGAAUCAGACAUGAGGUAGUCUGACAACGUUGCAUUUAGUCCUCCACCAACACCAUUUUGCAGUCUUGCUAGCAGGGCCCUCAUCGACACUGGAUCCAACAUUUCCAUAGUCUGCUCGGGAACCCUGCCUGGAACUGAAGGGUCAACACCAACGGGUCAGCUACUAUGAUGCAGAGAACGGGAAGCAGACAGCCUUAAAAGGAGGAAGGCAAUUUCAGGUGAUGGUAGGCACAAACGUUUUCAUUUGUGAGUUUUGGUUGGCUGACAUAGAAAAUCCUUGUAUUAUAGUGGGGCUUGUAUUAGUGUAGCUAGGGUUUACCUUUAGAUCAUCUGGGAAGUCAUUGCCCUACAGAAGGGGCAAGGGGCGGUUGAUGCACCUUUGGGUGAAGCCAGGGGGAAAGCAAAAUAGUCAAGCCCAUUCAAAAGUUAGUCAUGCUGUACCCUCUUGACCCCGAUGUCUUUGCUUCACUUCGCCCUUAAAAAGCAGCAAGAAACCACAGCAUCACCUGCAGAGAGUUGCUAGCAUGGGAAUGCGGGUGCCAUGUCCCUCCUGCCCUGUGAGGUAAUCGACUGCUGCCACCAGAGCUUCAGUUUCUCUGAUGGUAGCAUCUUGUUAAUUUUAACCAGGCUCUUGCCUUAAUUGCUGCAUACUGUUAAUACAGCCAUGGUCAAAAAUAUUGGCGCCCUUGGUAAAUAUGAUCAAAGAAGGCUGUUAAAAUUAACUAAUCAUUUAUUUUCUGCAGUUCUCCAGCUGUGUUCCACUUUGGCCUCUGAAACCCUCCUCCUCACCCUGCAUUAGGACAAUAAAGACACACUUCCAGGCAGCAAAACGGCAGGAAACUAUGAAAACAGGCAUCAAGGACAAGCUAUGAUGAGACAGCGAAAGACUUUGUUACAAAGAUCAAGUGAGAGCUGACAGGACAGACACAAUGAGGGCCAAAACUACAGUGAUAAGGCCAGUCGAAAAAGAUCUUCCGAAGUUAAGAUGGAGAAUGGACAAGUGAUAAGGAACCGGAAACAUCUUAGAUUGCAGAUAUGGUCCCUAGAGACUGUUGAUAUAAAAGAGGAGCAGCCUGCCCCAAAACUAAAUCAUAUUCCCUGUUCAAGACAUGGUAAGCAUUAUUUAUUUACUUUUAUUACAUUGGGUGGAGCGGAUUACAAUCUGGGACUAAUAUUAGUUAGUUAAUUGCAUAAUGUGUUUUCUUAAAGAAUGGGUUAAAGAUUGUAUCUCAGCAGUAAAUUAUUCCCCAUUCCUGUAAUUGCCUGAGGCCCCCAAUUCACUAAAUGCGGCCCUAUUUUCACUCAAUGUUCUCUGUUUCCGACAGAUUGUGAAAUACUUCGUCAUCAACAAGAUUGCUAGCGGAAGCUGCUUACCGCUGUCGCUAAGCAAUGAGGUGUCAAUUUGUGCAAACAAAACGCUUCCCUUUUCUUAUUUAUGGGCCUGUGGGCUAUAUACUUAUUGAAUCAGACAUGACUUUGUUAAAUGUUACGCCACAUAGCAUUAUAUAAGAAUAUUAGAAAUUGUUGUACAUUAAUUUGAUGCAUUGUAAAAUUAGGGAUAGAAACAAAAAAUAUAUAAUUUAAAAAAACCAAAAAUUUCUCAACAUUAAUAGUUUCCUAUGAGUGAUAGGUUUAGGUGUGGCAACUGCCCCACGCUGUAAAAACCAUGGAACAAGGCCUAUGGAAUAUCAAAAAAAUGUAAUUUUUUAUAACAAUCUAAGCCCAACGUAGAUGCGUGUCUUAAUGUCAAAUCAUCACAUUUGAGAAAAUCCCCACAUUUCCUAUAAAACUAUAAUAAUGUUGUAGCAUAGUUUAAAUUAAAUGACAUUGAUCAAAUCUGAAUCAAGAUGUAUUGUUAUUUAGUAUUUUAUCCUAUAAAUUAAAGGCUACUGCAUUUGUUUUAAUAUUAGAUCCAUGACUCCUGUAGACUGUUGUUUAAAGGUUUAAGCUUUACUCCAGAAGUAUUCCAACUAAUUGUUAAUAAUGGCUUUUUUAGGCUGUGUUCAUGUAUUUGAGGCUAUAAAAUGGGGUAUUACUUGAACUAUGGGCCUAAAAUCAAUAAUGUGGAUCGCUUUUAUUUUUCAGAUAAUUCUUGGAUUAAUGUUAGAAAGAGAUGUUUUCACAUUAAACUGUCAAUCUGAGGCACAAUGACAGGCAUUCUGAGUUCCAUAUACUAAAGCAUGUUUGUGAAAUGCAAAAUUAAGUUAUUUUUCAGAGAUAAUUGCACACUUGUUGCAUUGUGCUGCGUAUCAAAUAUUUAAUGCCAAAUGCUAUUAUGACUUUAUUCUGCAGAAUGGGAAACUAACUGAUGAUAGCUAGUUUAAUUAAAAAUAGAUCAUCAAAAAACGGAUUUGGAGAAUAAAAAAAACCAAGCAUCUCCACUAGACGGUGCUGCGUUCAUGUUUGGUGUAAAAUGGCUUAGACUAGUGUUCGUGAGUCGCACAGGUCUUUGUGCAGUUUAUUACACUUACAAUUUGUAAAAGCGUGAUCUUGAAAUGGCAGUCAAAAGCAAAAUCACUCUACAUUUAUUUAUAUAAAAAUACAAAACUUAAAAAAAAAAGUUUCCAUAGGAAAGCAAUUCAGAAGCAAUCCCAUCUCUUUCAAAUCCAUUUCAAAUGCUUCAGUGGCAUACAUUUCAGGUCAAUAAUACAGAUUUCAGGUCAAAAUAAUAUUAACUUACUAAUCAAGUAUAAAAUGGAAAUGGUCACCGAGGAGGAAGAUAUCUGUAUGAGUCUGUGUGAAGAGGAAGCUCUAA